CCGGCACGGGUGAGUAACACGUAUCCAACCUGCCGUCUACUCUUGGACAGCCUUCUGAAAGGAAGAUUAAUACAAGAUGGCAUCAUGAGUCCACAUGUUCACAUGAUUAAAGGUAUUCCGGUAGACGAUGGGGACGCGUUCCAUUAGAUAGUAGGCGGGGUAACGGCCCACCUAGUCUUCGAUGGAUAGGGGUUCUGAGAGGAAGGUCCCCCACAUUGGAACUGAGACACGGUCCAA
rnacentral:rRNA from 1 species